rnacentral:piRNA from 1 species
AAGGAUAGAUGUUAGGCUAAACAUAGGAG